rnacentral:rRNA from 1 species
AGGGGGAACAUGGGGCCCCUUGACUUUUUAUGUGCCCAGAUGGGAUUAGCUAGUAUGUGGGGUAACGGCUCACCUAGGCGACGAUCCCUAGCUGGUCUGAGAGGAUGACCAGCCACACUGGAACUGAGACACGGUCCAGACUCCUACGGGAGGCAGCAGUGGGGAAUAUUGCACAAUGGGCGCAAGCCUGAUGCAGCCAUGCCGCGUGUAUGAAGAAAGCCUUCGGGUUGUAAAGUACUUUCAGCGGGGAGGAAGGUGUUGAGGUUAAUACCCUUGUCGAUUGACCUUACCCGCAAAGGAUGCACCGGCUAACUCCGUGCCAGCAGCCGCGGUAAUACGGAGGGGGCACUCGUUAAUCGGAGUUACUGGGCGUAAAUCGCACGCAAGCGGUCUGUCAAGUCGGAUGUGAAAUCCCCGGGCUCACCCUGGGAACUGCAUUCCAAACUGGCAGGUAAAGUCUUGUAGAGGGGGGUA